rnacentral:rRNA from 1 species
UCUUUAAGAAAUAAUUUAAAGUAAAACCUGCUCCAUGAAAUGAUAAAUAGCCGCAAAUUUAUGUGCUAAGGUAGCAUAAUCAUUAGCUUUCUAAUUAAAAGAUAGAAUGAAUGGUUAAACGAAAUAUUAACUGUUUCUUUAUACUAUAACUAAAUUAUAAAAAUAGUCAAAAUUCUAUUAAAUUAAAGAAAGACGACAAGACCCUAUAAACUAAAUUAUUGGCUGGGGUGGCAAAAUAAAAAAACCUUAAUUACUAUAUUCUUACAAAAAAUCUUUUUAAUUUGAAACAGUUACUAUAGGGAUAACAGCGCUACUUUUUUUAAAAGCUCUAAUAAAAAAAAAUCCUACGACCUCGAUGUUGAAUUAUAACCCUUUAACUUAUGAAAAAAUUAUAAAAGGCAGUCUGUUCGACUAUUAAAAAUAU